rnacentral:rRNA from 1 species
CUACGGGCGGCUCCAGUGGGGAAUAUUGCACAAUGGGCGCAAGCCUGAUGCAGCCAUGCCGCGUGUAUGAAGAAGGCCUUCGGGUUGUAAAGUACUUUCAGCGGGGAGGAAGGGAGUAAAGUUAAUACCUUUGCUCAUUGACGUUACCCGCAGAAGAAGCACCGGCUAACUCCGUGCCAGCAGCCGCGGUAAUACGGAGGGUGCAAGCGUUAAUCGGAAUUACUGGGCGUAAAGCGCACGCAGGCGGUUUGUUAAGUCAGAUGUGAAAUCCCCGGGCUCAACCUGGGAACUGCAUCUGAGACUGGCCAGCUUGAGUCUCGUAGAGGGGGGUAGAAUUCCAGGUGUAGCGGUGAAAUGCGUAGAGAUCUGGAGGAAUACCGGUGGCGAAGGCGGCCCCCUGGACGAAGACUGACGCUCAGGUGCGAAAGCGUGGGGAGCAAACAGGAUUAGAUACCCCGGUAGUC